rnacentral:rRNA from 1 species
GACAGAGGGUGCAAACGUUGUUCGGAAUUACUGGGCGUAAAGCGCGUGUAGGCGGCUGCGUAAGUCGGGCGUGAAGUCCCACGGCUCAACUGUGGAAGAGCACUCGAAACUGCGUAGCUAGAGUCCUGGAGAGGAAGGUGGAAUACUUGGUGUAGAGGUGAAAUUCGUAGAUAUCAAGUGGAACACCAGUGGCGAAGGCGGCCUUCUGGACAGUGACUGACGCUGAGACGCGAAAGCGUGGGGAGCAAACAGG